rnacentral:rRNA from 1 species
GACGAACGCUGGCGGCGUGCCUAAUACAUGCAAGUAGAACGCUGAAGAGAGGAGCUUGCUCUUCUUGGAUGAGUUGCGAACGGGUGAGUAACGCGUAGGUAACCUGCCUUGUAGCGGGGGAUAACUAUUGGAAACGAUAGCUAAUACCGCAUAACAAUGGAUGACACAUGUCAUUUAUUUGAAAGGGGCAAUUGCUCCACUACAAGAUGGACCUGCGUUGUAUUAGCUAGUAGGUGAGGUAAUGGCUCACCUAGGCGACGAUACAUAGCCGACCUGAGAGGGUGAUCGGCCAGACUGGGACUGAGACACGGCCCAGACUCCUACGGGAGGCAGCAGUAGGGAAUCUUCGGCAAUGGGGGCAACCAUGACCGAGCAACGCCGCGUGAGUGAAGAAGGUAUUCGGAUCGUAAAGCUCUGUUGUAAGUCAAGAACGGGUGUGAGAGUGGAAAGUUCACACUGUGACGGUAGCUUACCAGAAAGGGACGGCUAACUACGUG